UGACGCGGGUAGCGCUGCCGGUUUCGGGCCUAGAUUUGUGCCGGUGUUUGCCGUGAUAUUGCCGUGCUGGGGCCAGCCUGGUUGUGCUGCCUGGGACGUAGUGAAAUAAGCAACGUCCGUCGCAUGUGUGUGGUUGGCGAAACUUCAAAGCAUGUCGAAUAACAAUUGCUGUGUGGUGGGGUGCUCAAACACCUACAAAAACUCGCCGGGGACGCGGUUUUACCCAUUCCCCGCGAGGCCUCAUGAGCAGGAGCGACGGAAACAAUGGAUCGCCGCCGUUCGUCGGGAAAGUGCAGAUGGCAGUCCAUGGCAGCCUACCAGACACACCAAGAUCUGCAGCUGUCACUUUUUAAAUGGCGAGAAGUCGAACGAUCCGAGAAGCCCUGCCUAUCUACACACCUUGUUUCCAAGUGUGUACAGGUCUACCAAAGUUGCUACUGCACACACGUAUUAAAGGCUCCGGCCACGUGAGCAGCAUGGACAAGCCACAUGGAGCUGUGUGUUGCCAGUUCCUGAUGACCAAGAUGGGUGGUGCAACUGCAGUGCACACAAGUGCAGGUAGGAACGCAGACAGACCCUUGCAAAUGGUUCUCGGAUGUGGAUAUGCCGAGCCUCUUCUUUUGUUGUUUAAAAGAAUGUGAAGCUGAGACGCAGGUUGUUCUGCCCUGCAAGAAGGAAAGCAAAGAUGCAUCAUGGGGAACAUCCUACGACGUCAAGAACGCUGCAUGUGAUGCCAUGAACGUUGA